ACUUAGAUAGCUUAAACAAAGCAUCGGUCUUGUAAGCCGAAGAUUGGGAAAUCACCUUCCCUCCAAGUA
rnacentral:tRNA from 1 species